UGGCAUCAUUGUACUUCCACUUUGCACUCCCUUUCCACGGGACUAACUGACAGCACAAGAUGCAAGACAGUGAAGAAUCAGACCCCAUAAUUGUGUGUUGGGCACUGCGUCAGUGCUGUGAUAGACUACCGAUGGAAUGGGUGUGGUUUGGAGAGGCAGAAGGUCUAGGGCUGAACCUGCACCUCUGAAGUCACUUGGAGCUGCAUUAGGGCCAUUAUCAGCUUGAUCAGUUACUGGAAAUAUUAAAAAAUAGUUUCACACCAUGGCUACUCUGGAUGAAUUUACCAGACGACAGUAUCUCCUACACCUGAAUCCAGAUAUUUGAAAGGAUAUUUGAAAGGAUAUUUAUAAAAAGAGGCAUAGCCAAAUUCAGUUCCCUGUUAUACCAAUGUGCAUCUGAAUAAAAUCCACUGAAGUCAUUGGAACUAUUAUGGAUUUAUACUGUCAUAGCAGAGACAGCGGUAUUUGGCUACAAUCUUUAUAUGGAGAUGUAGAACUGAGUCCUGGCAAUGGAAAAGGAGCCCAGAAAACAACUUGUUUAUUAUAAGCAGGUCAGUCCUCCAGGGGACUCGUGGAAUCACGCAGUGGGAGAGGACAAUCACAGCACUGAAAUGGUGGAUAAUUUUAUUUGUUCCACUUGAUGGUCACAGUGGCAUCAUGCUGGCCAAUUACUCUUGAGUCAGCAGGUUUCAGAGGUUAAGAGCCACUUGUGGAUUGCAGCACUGCAGGCAAAGUAUUCAGGCCAGAUUGAAACCAUUUCAACCUCAGAGACGCCAGCCUUUUUCUCCCUUGGAGAUCUCCUUUUUCAUCUAUAUACAAGGCGUACAUGUAAUAGAAUAAGCAUGUCUUUAGCAUCAAGACAACUUAAUUGUGGAGAGUGGAAAGAAUGCCAGCUUCAGAUAAAUAAAGGGGCAAUAAACCAGAGAGGUAUACUACACAAUGGAGGCAUGAAAUGUACAAAUAUCGCAAAACUUAAAUGUUAGUUCCAAAGGAAAGAGCAGUCUGGGAACAGUCCUCAUGCCAGCAACCUCCUAAUGUUUCCAAACAGCUGAAUCUUUAACAAUUUCUUCACAUUUUUGUCAAGUGGAAAUGUUUUAAGCCACUUCUUCAGUGAUCGGUAAUUCUAAGGGGGAAAACAGCAGAAAAAACAUUUGUUUUAGCGGUAGAUCUGCCACAAGCGAUUGGGCAGAGGCGGAUAUGAAAUCCAAGCUACUAGAAAUAACCAGUAUCAGAAAUAUUUUGCUGCAAGAGCUAUUCAGUUUCUGAAGGAUG